UAGUUGUCUUUGGUGAGUUGAGUGACGUAAAAGUCGAUAUCUGCGUUUAUGCUUUUUUCUUUUUUCUUUCUUUAUUUUACCACCACUUCGUCCAUUUUCUCGACGAGAAAGAAAACCGAGACGAACCGAGGCUCCGCGUGCAGAUAGUAAGAAGCUGACAGGAAACGCCGUGGUUAUACAACGGGUGGUAAAAAACUUGAAAUAAGCGGUAUAAAUAAAGUAAAAAUUGAAAAUCUCAACAAAAUGACAUCGCAAGUGAAUGAUUUCUAUAACGGCAAGAAUAUUUUUUUAACUGGUGGAACUGGUUUUCUUGGUAUUUGUUUUGUUGAAAAGCUUCUUAGAUCUUGUCCGGAUGUGAAAAAUAUUUAUUUGCUUAUUAGACCGAAAAAGGGAAAGCAAAUUAACGAGAGAUUGGAAGAACUAACACAAAAUUCGGUCUUUGAUAGAUUGAGAGAAGAAAAUAAGACAGAAUUAUUUAAGAAAUUAAUUGCUAUUUCUGGUGAUAUUGGCGAAGACAAUUUAGGUUUGUCUAACGAAGAUCGGUCGCAACUGAUAGAAAAUGUACAAAUUGUUGUACAUUCUGCUGCUACUUUGGAUUUUGAAGUUAGUUUAAAAAAUGCUGUUCUUAUUAACUUGUUAGGUACUCGAAGAGUUAUUCAGCUUUGUCAAGAGAUCAAGAAUCUUAAGGCUUUGGUACAUGUUUCCAGUGCUUAUGUUAAUUCAGUAUUAUAUGAUGUUCAAGAAAAAAUUUAUCCACCUCCAGAGGAUGUAAAUAAAGUAUUAAAAUUAGUAAAAGAACUGGAUGAUAAAGCAUUGGAAGAUGAAACUCCAAAACUAUUAGGAGAACAUCCAAAUUCAUAUACAUUUACCAAACAUUUAGCCGAGCACGAAAUAGCUAAUGCUCACUUACCGUCUGCGAUAGUACGACCUUCAAUGAUUGUAGGAGCAUGGAAGGAACCGGUACCUGGAUGGACUGUAUCUAAAAAUGGGCCAACUGGCUUUCUUAUGGGUGCUAGUAAAGGAAUUGUGCGGAGAUUACCUAUUGCUAAAUCUUUGGUAUAUGAUUAUAUUCCAGUAGAUAUUGUUGUGAAUACUCUUAUUACUGCUGCUUAUGCUGUUAAUCGUGAUGGUGGAAAUAAUGUGAAAGUAUAUCAUUGUACAUCAAGUACGUGUAAUCCCUUUAAAUGGGAAUGCGUAGAAUCAAAAAUUACUCCAUUUCUACACAAAUAUCCAUUGAAGAGUGCUGUUUGGUAUCCGCAUCUCAAAAUUAUAAACUCGUUAUUUUUAUUUAGAAUUUCUGCUUUUUUUGUACACAUAAUUCCUGCAUUUAUUUUGGAUACAAUUACAAGAUUACUCGGAGGACGACCGAUAUUAAUACGUUUGCACAAUAACAUUAAUAAGUCACUAGACCGUCUUGAAAAGUUCAUUUUUACGGAAUGGAAGUUUAAUAACCCACUUUUUAUGGAUUUAAAAAAAUCUUUAUCUGAGGAAGAUAAAGAUAAAUUCUUUAUGAACAUUGAAUCAUUGGUUUGGGAGGAUUACUUUUUGAAUCUAGUUUUAGGUGUAAGAAUAUAUUUAAGUAAAGACCCUAAGAAGACGCUCAAGAAAGCACGUUCAAAAAAUAUGAUAUUGAUGGUGGCUCAUCUAAGUUUACAAGCUCUAUUAUUAGGAUUUUUUUGGUGGGUUGUCAAAGUUUUGUUCAACUCAUCUUGGACAAAAACAAGCAUGGCUGUUCCAAUCAUAUACUUUUUCUUCGAUCAACUUUAAAUAUAAUAGAAAGGUUAUUCUAUUAUUUGUUUAUAUAAUAUUUAAUCUGGGAUGGAAAAGAUCUAUAACAAUUUAUAGUUUAUAAUACAAUAAUUGGAAAUAUUAAAUGUUCUUAUGAGAAAUUUAUGGCACAUAUGUAAUAAGAUGCAAAAAGUUUAUAAAACAUCUUUUAUCAAGGAGAAAGCAUUUUCUACCCUACCAGCAUUUAACAAUUCGUUUUGGUCAUCGAGAUAAGAUAAAGUUCUACCAAGGUCAAUUAGUACGACUGUUUUGAAAAUUACACGUUAAUUGUAAAAAUAUGAUAACGAUUCUACAAACAGGCGACGAGAAAGCGAUUCAUAAAAUAAAUAUGUGACUGCUUUGUUUUAUUAAUAUCACAACUUAUGAUGCUAUUUGAAGUAUUCAAGUAUCAUUCAUUGUUCAAGUAUCAUCCACGAUUUAAAUACAAUAAUCUUAUUAUCUACAUUAUAUUAACAUAUAUAAGAUUAUAAUGCGUUAUAUACCUUAAAAGUGAAACUUAUAGAAUGAAAUAAAAAAAAUAAUUAUACCUUUAUAGUUUUUUUUUCAUUUUGUAAAUUUCUCUGAUCUUUUAUGGUACAGUUUAGAUUGUUUUAUAUUCAAUGAUAUACUUAUUACAUCAAUUUUAUCGUUUGUGAUAUAAUUGUAAAAAAUAGUAUAUUAAAAAAGGAAUUAUAAAAACUCAAAAAACUAUCAAUAAAUUAACAAUAUUAAAAAUGGUUAGUUAGAGGAGGUAGAUUUAAUUUUUACGCAAGAACUGAUUUAUAUUAUUAAUUAUUACGUAUAAAUUGUGCCAUCUAUUAUAACGAAACAGUACUGAAUUGCAGUGUGAAAAGAAACAAAUGCAUUGUUCAGAUAACUGACUUUGCAGAAUGCAUAUUUGAUCUUAUUUAUGAAUGGUUAUGUAGUAAACUGAAUGCUUGCAAGAGAUUAUUGUUUGUAAUAUUUUAAUGAAAUCAUCCAGAUUUCAUAGAUUUCUACUAAAUAUUCUAUUAUAUGUAUACAUACAUACAUUUAUUUACAUAAAUAUACACGCUUUAUUAAUCAAUCUAUAAUAAAUUAAUCAGUCUAUAUUAUAAUGUCUAUAUUAGCUAUAAUGUCUAUAUUAUAAUGUCUACUAAUACAGUCUAUAUUAAUAAUGUUUUUGUCAUUUGUCUCAUUAUUGUUCUAACUAUUCAACUAAUUUGUCGAUUUGGACACAUUCAAGAGUAACAAUCAUGUACUUUCUUCUGCUACUCUUCGUAUAGAGAGUAUACAAAUAAAUUUAUCUAUAAGAAAUUAAAUUUUAAUUAACAAGAGCUUGGACAAUAUUUUUAUCUACUGUUUUUAUCUACGAUUUGCUGCGUUCUAUUAUAAUUUUAUUAUAAGUUUAUAUAAUGUAAUAUGUCUAGAAUUUUCAUUAUAUAACAUUUUCUGUUUUAUUGAAUUUGGAGAAUAUUACAAAGUAUAAAGAAUAAUAAAAGUACGCGUUAAAUUCAAAUAGAAUAAAAUUUCCAGAUACGUUCAACUAACGACACGAUUUAAUUUAAUAUAAUAAAUUAAUGAUUAAAUUAAUUAAUAUUAUAAGUUUUAUUAUUUCAAUGUUAGUCAUUUUCUUUUAAUGCUUUUUUUUUUCAUUCAUUUUAAUUUUAUAUUUAUUCACGCAAUUAGUAUUCUGCAAAUCUAUUGCGAUUAUAUUUCCAUGUAAUUAUACUUCUGCAAACCUAUUGCGACUAAAUGUAUUUUUAAACAAUAGGUAAAACGUGAUUUUGUUUAUUUGUUUGUUUUUCUUCAUUUAUUUUAAUAUAGCUAACAAGUUUUAUAAUUACAAUUAUUGUUUAUUUUAUCAUUUAUUUUUUGAGAAUAAUAGAUAAAUUGCGGAAGUAAACACUACACUUUAAUUAUUUUUAUUUAAUAAAUAAUUCUUUAUUUAAUAAAUAGUUUUUUAUUUAAUAAAUACUACAGUUGAUCGUCGUUCAGUGCUUAUAUUUGUAAAAUAGUAUGAUUAAUUUUCAAUCUGAUAGAUUGCUUUAAAAAUAAAAUAAAAUUGCGAAUUAAAGUCAGCGCUUUGAAUAAAUAAGAAUAAUAAAGAUAUUAGAAAUUUUCAGUGCGUUUCUCUAAGAACUUUAUUUUAGAAUUCUACUAAAUGUUUGAAAUAAUUGUAAGUAAUUGUCAGUAAUUCGAAAUGUAAGUACUUCGAUGUUUAGAUAGAAUUAGAAAGAAGACAAGAUUUUGAAAACGUACUGAAAUAUGUAGCCAUUUGACGGUAAUUGUACUUUAAAAUUGUCAUUCUCGGAGUGAUAUGAAUUUACUGAAAAAACUAUCUGGAAGAGGGUCAGUUUUCGAUUACGGAUAACAGUAUUAUCGUAACAUCGUAGCUACAUAUAUCUUGAUAUAUAGAUCAGUUGUAUUAGAUCUUCUAUUCGAAAUUUUGAGCUAUAAAACGGAAUCUACGGUAGGACUUUUAAUAGUGCCUGCGAAUGCCUAUACAGAUAUGAGAACGAGUAUUCUCCCUAACUUAUUACUGUAUUUCCGCAUAAAAUCUUUGAUGAUGAAUCUAACCGUUACAUUGAUAUGUAUCCUCACAGAUUAACUUACACAGUAUCCUUACAGCAUAUGAACAAUUUAUUGAUGAACUAGUCUGAAGAAGAAGUGGAAGCAAAGAAGAGAAAGAGCGCGAAAAUGAUGGAACAUAGAAAAAGGGUUCAAUCAAAAGUUCGAAUUUGUUGACAUUACAUAUAGUAAAAACUGUGAGGAAAAUUUAAACUACUGGAAUGUUAAAUCAAGAUUAUUUUAUAUUUAUCAUUUAUUACAAGUUUUGUAAUGUUUAAAAGAAUGUACUAUUAUAUGAAUAUUAGUUUAUUGUAUUCCGUGUACAUUAAAGAUUGUUUAAAUAAUUGGAAAAUUAUCAAAAGUAUGUUAUAUUUAAGCUUAACUGUUUGGAAGAGACUUGGAUGUUUAUUCAUUGAAAUGCAAAAGAAAACUAUUUCGAUAAAAAUUUGUUAGAAAUGCUCAAAUCUAUCUUUGUUACUGUUUGUAUGACUAGCUAUUAUUGAAAACGAGUAUCAAAAUUUGUACCAAUUGAAGUUUAAGAUUGAAAUUAUUUUAUUUGAAUGAUAUAUUCUCGCUUAUGUAAUGUUCUAACGAAGGUUUAAUAUCGUCGAGAUCAGCAUUCUUAUAUAUUUGUACAGUAGAUGUAUGCUACUAAGCGAGAAAGUGUUUAUCUACUUAUCUUAGUAUUGAAAAUAUGAAUUUUUUCAAAAAUUAAAUAUGUACGAAUCAGUAGUGUUCGUAAAUUUAAAUCGAACUUAUUCCUCGUGCAAUCUUGUGCAGCAUCUGUGAGAUAACAAACGAGUUAUUCGUUCAUCCGCAUAUUUUAUUAUUAAAUAUAGAUAUAUUUUCAAAAAAUUAUAUUAGUCAGUGUGCUAAUUCUUUUGAGAAUUUACGUAGGUUAAUAAUAUUUGAAAAUGUAAGUCUUCUUUUUCUCAUCUUAUUUCAAUUAAUUAUUUCUUCGUCCCAGCAUUAUCUUCUAAAGUCAUUAAAUCUUUUGAUUAUGAUCGAGUCCAUAACAAAUACCACGAAUAUAAAUUUUUUGUGAAUUAAUAUUUCUAGAACUUAUUAAGCAAGUAUAAUAUAAUAUUAUUAUUUCUGAAUAUUUAUAAGAGAGAUUAUUCAUAGAAAAAGAUAAAUUAUUCGAUUUACUUUUUGACUUCCAUAAUAGAAGAAAAACGAAAGCUAGGUAAUUAUAUAUCCGUGGUCGAAAUUUAUUUUGUAACAUAUCUUAAUAUAAAAAUAAUUGUUUAUUAUCAUAAUAAAACGAUUGAUAAUAUCUUUUUUAUGAUUUUAUAUUAUAUUUUAUACUAUUUUGCAAUUAAAUGUUAAAUGUCAUGCAAUGUUUUUUUUUGAGCAUGAUAUAACUAAAAUGAUGCAAAUGUAUACGCUACACGAAACGUUUAAUUUAAUCAUCUUUACGGUGUGGAUGAUGCUAUUGCUGUUUCAGUUCGUAUCAGAAAGACGUAGAUCAGUAUCAGCUUCGUCAAUUACAAGUAAUUAGUAGCGGUUAAAUAAAACGUUAAAAACAAUUACAAAUAAAAAAUAACAGAUCUUUUCUAACUUACACCCUUUCCCUAUAUACCAAUCGCUAAUUAAUCGUGCAAUUUUAUUGAUAUCACGUUUGGAAGUUGGGAAAUCAUUGAGUUUAAAAGAUAUUCAUAACAAUAAAAUCGGCCUCUCAUAGAUCCUCCUGGGAGUUAUUGAUUAAUACUUUUUUUCUUCUCUUCCAGCUUUAUUUUCACAAUAUCGAUAAUUCUCAAGUUUUUUAACAAUGCUCUGGUUAAUUAUUUUAGUUGAUAGUUGUUAACAGUCGAUAUCUUGCAUUAAAUUUGAUAUUCAUCGAUCAGAUAUAUAUAUAUAUAUAUAUAUAUAUAUAUAUAUAUAUACACAUACAUGUA